AGUGCGUUUACAGGGAGACUCAAAAGUGUAAGGUAUCGUCUCCCUCUUUCAUGUCGUUAGCUGAUCAAUGGCGUCCUCCAGCAAAAUGGAAGACGAAGGAGAAGAUGGAACUUCAGAAAAGGAGGAGUUCAAUGUUAAACAACAGGUACAGAUGUAUGAGAGAUAGGCUGAAGUGAAUAUGUUUACACCACCCACUGCGAACCAGUCAUGGAGAAAAGUUCUAAGCAUGGGCAAUCUUCUUGACGGCCAUGAGCCAGUUGUGAGGUAAAUCAUCUUUUCCAUGCAGGAUUGCGUGGCCGAUGAUCAUUACGGGAAUUGCCCGAGCCCCCACAAGGAUAUUGAAACUCAUCGAAUGUACAUAUGUGGAACAUCCAAUGUUCUUCAGCUACAGCUGCCACAACGAGACAAUAUAUAAGAUAUAGUAUAUGGAGAGUGAAGGAAGAUUUCGAUCCUAAAAUUGUUGCAAUAGUUUGCCAGAGAAUGUACCAGCUGAGGUAGUUGGCAUCUUUGAUGGAGGAGAUGGUUGUGAAUGAAAAUAUCACCCAGAUAAUAUUGGAG